UGGGCUGUAGUGUGUCUUGGUGGGGAAGAUAUUAUACUGCACACAUCAGACUUCCUGUUAGUGAUCCCAUUAGAAUUCUUAUUGUCAGCCUCUCCUAAGUGUUGCCAGUGUCUUUCUCCCUUCAUAGUGGCUGUGUCACAUUUCUAUCCUCAAAGCUAGCAAUACCCUAACCAGACCAUCUAAUGUAUAUGGGGGGGCUUCCCGACACUCCUAGACAUGUUAGAUUUCAACAUGUGCGAUCUCUUUGUUCUAAAAGAGGGAAGCAACCACUAGUACACAUCCACAUGUGGCAAUAUAAGCCAGUGUUUCCCAACCAAUGUGCCUCCAGCUGUUGAAAAACUACAACUCCCAGUCAUUUUUCAACAGCCUGAGACACAUAGUUUGGAAAACACUGCUCUAGGCAAUGAAAACACAUACAUGCCCUACCAAAGUAAGCAUGCAUGUGUAUGGGGAUUUCAGGAGAGACAGCUGUUGGCCAACGCAGCCAGGGUUACAACAUAACACAACACAAGGGUGGGCACCAAGGGUGGGCACCACCCUUAUACGGUUACAUGUAAUGGAUCCGCAGCAUAUUAUACGUUGCAGAUCUGCUGGUGACCCGACCCAUAGUGUGCCUCCAGCUGUUGCCCCGCCCCCUGGCCAGCUCGCAGAGGCAAUCCGCUGCUCCGAGCAGCCACACAUAGAGCACUCGCAACGUACUCAGACAUCGCCGCAACUCACAGGCCCCUGUGUGGCUGCUCAGAGUGGCGGAUUGCCGCUGCCAGCAGGCGGGGCAACAGCUGGAGGCACAUUUAGGGGGAGAUUUAUCAAAACAUGUCCAGAAGAAAAUUUGCCCAGUUGCCCAUAGUAAUCAAUCGGCUUGCUUCUUUCAUUUUAAACAAGGUCUCUGCAAAAUGAAAGAAGCUCUGAUUGGUUGCUAUGGGCAACUUUUUCUCUGGACAGGUUUUGAUAAAUCUCCCCUAUAUGUGUAAAGAACACACAUCCCAAAAUGACAAAAAGUCAGUAUUUAUCCAGAAAGACCAAUGUAAAUAAAUGCAAUAUAAAGAGGUUAAAAACACUUAAAGGGGUAUUCCGGGAAUUUUUUUUUAUUUGAAUAUGCUACAGGAGCUGUAAAGUUUGUGUAAUUCAUAAUAUAGUGUCUGUACCUGUGUGUGACGGUUUUCUCACAAUUUCUAUUUGAUUUUCACCUCACUAUUUAUUUUUACCAGCAUACAAAAUUACUGUUGUCUCGGAUUUUUCCCAGCUUGCAAUGCGGCCCGAGACCUGACUCGUCAGUUGAUGACAGGGAGCCUGUCUGCUUCAAUGGGUGGAGGGAUCGCUUGGUGGGAGAGAGAUCAAUCUGCAACUAAUGCAACAACUGUAGGCACCCUGAUUGAAAACCACAGGGGAACUGCUUCAUUCCAACCUGAUCUAUGAUUGACCUGAUGGAGAUUAGAAACACGAUGCUGCACGCACAUUUUCGUGUGAACCUACAGGAAUCUUCCACUCUGGGAUCCACCGCAGUGAGUGAAUGGCUAAGCAGGCAUUUCCAGUAAUUUAUAGUGUCCUGGGACGGGACCAGUAAUUGGAGAUCGGUUGGGACCCAUUACCAAUUGGAAAGGUGGCAGGGGAAAAUCGGUG